rnacentral:rRNA from 1 species
UUAGGUUAAGUUAUGAAGGGCGCAUGGUGAAUGCCUUGGUACUAGGAGCCGAUGAAGGACGGGACUAACACCGAUAUGCUUCGGGGAGCGGUAAGUACGCUUUGAUCCGGAGAUUUCCGAAUGGGGAAACCUAAUCAGCUUAGUCGCUGAUUGCUUGACUAGUGAAUACAUAGCUAGCAAGAGGUAGACGCAGUGAACUGAAACAUCUUAGUAGCUGCAGGAAGAGAAAGAAAUAUCGAUUCCCUGAGUAGCGGCG